CUGGCUGCAAGGGAGCAGGGGCAGGAUAACAAAAGAAAGUAUAAAUAGUCUUUUUAAAAGCCUGUUAAAUAGAAGUAGACUUUUUAGGGAGGAGGGAGAAAGAAUGAGGUGUGUUACCAUAGUAACUGCCAAUGGUUUAUUUAAGAAGGACAAAGAAGCAAACACCACAAAAAGGCGAAGUCGACAGGAGCUGGAGAUUGCUGGAGGAAUCUGUCGGGGCACAGACAACAUGGGGCCAGAAACUUGGUCUGUACUCCCAGAUGGACAAAUACCUUCCUCACCAAAGACACACUGAACAGCUGUUGGAUGAACACAAAUAUGACUUGAUUGCUCGAAAUUAAAGUAAGCAUCACAGAGUUGAUAUCAUCACAGAAAGAAAGGUGACUACAGCUUGAACUCACAGAUUACUGAAGAAACUGGGGCUUUUGCCUGGUGAAGGA